ACGCCAGGGAGGAAUAUCACCCAUUCUUGAGAGAGAAAAUAUUUAAUCUUUAAAUAACUGCGGCAAUCGAUGGAGAAUUCAAUUCAUAGCAAAAAAUGUUAUACACACUUCUCUCGGUUAGUUAAUAUUUUAUUUUUUGUGAUUUGGGUGAUUUUUCAAAAAUAACUCACAAACAGUACAUUUUAAGCAAAAAGUCAUAAAAUGCAAGUCAAAAAGAAACCAUUCAAAAAUAUAAAUUAAUUUUUUUUAAAUUUUUAUAGCGACGAUAGAAGCCGAGUUACAACCUGAUUAGGUGAGGGUUUAUUUAAAUUACCCUUUAAUCGAAACUUUAUUAUCAAAUAACGUAAAUAAUACGAGGUGUUUCCAGAAAUGCUCACAACAUUUUUAAAAGUAUUUGAUAAGAUCUUUAAAACAAGCUUAUCUAUACGUUAUUCGGAUGGAAAACACCAGAGUUAUUAACAAAAAAACACGAUUAUGUCAUUAAAAAAA
rnacentral:lncRNA from 1 species